rnacentral:lncRNA from 1 species
AACAACAACAGUAUCAUUUUACGUCUAGAAAAAUGGGAUAAAAAUGAUCAUCAAAGUCAUUCAAUGUUGGAUUUAUCAUCAUGGACAUGUUGUACGAAGUCUCCGGAAAGACAUUGAAGUUUCAGGCCGCACCACAAAACUUCUGAAGGGUCCACGAUCCCACGGAAGCCCUGUCUGGACCGACGCAAGUGUUAUCAUCUCGUCAGAACAAACCUGACGGCCAGCUGCGUGAAUUCCUUUGACUCCGCGGUGAACGUCUCACCCCCGGAGCAGGGGAGAUAUUGAGAAAAGAAACGGAGCAGAAAAGCCUUUGUCACAGUCCACCAGGUUGCCGGGCUCGAUGGCACUCGGAGAAGAGCGGCUUACUGGAGAGCCCUGCUGCUGGUCAUCUCCUCAUGCUCCACAUGGGCCGGUGGUCACUGAGGGGAGCAUGAGGAGAUACAUGCUCCAUUAUUGGCCUAAAACUUGCAGUAACAGCAGCGUCAUUGCUCGACGGAGCCGGGGUCAGUACCCUGGACAGCUCCCUCUGCACCGACAGCAGCAGGAUCAGGUCACCUGACACACUUCGUCAAGUUACCAGGCUCGACGCUGACCUCACAGCGAACACGUUCGCACGAAGUUCCUGCGCGGGCUGCAGAUGCCCUGCUUGUUGCGACCUGAGCACAAGGGUUUGGUAGCUCACAAAUAGACGCCAUAGUUUGGUAAACAUGAUAAUUACCAGCAGGAGCAGCUGUAAUUUUUUUUCCUCUUGGAUGCUUAACUUGGAAUUCAUUAACUAACUUGUUAUAACUGCUUUCCACAGACCAGCACAAAGAAUGACUAUUUCCCACCUCAACAGGAAAAUGUCAGGCUCUGUCCUUUACAGAUGAAAAGAAACACCAUUGAAGAUAAUUCUGCUCAAUUAGACGGUACAUUUUCCUGGAACUACUGUGCAUAAUAUUUCAGAGAGACGCUCUCGACUUCUCCGACCCUUUUUCAUAAUUUCAUCAAAUUGUCAUUUUGCUGCAGUUUUCCUCCGCUCCACCUCCACGGGUCACACAUAAUUAACACAUUUGUCAUGAAAGGUGUUUAUUAGCAUUGAUUACUCUUAGAAUAAAAUCUGUGAUUUAUGCAGAAACAGGAAAAAUAAAUGAGACACUCAGAGGCUUAUGAAUAUAAACACUUCUGGCAAUAAUAAACAUAUGCUGUAUUUGGAUUUAUAUAUUUGGCUGAAAAGUAUAGGCUGGACAUUUUAAUUUACUAUUGAGUGAACCUGCAGAGAAACAAAGCAGAAGAAAAAAAAUGUAAGGAACAUGUGGCAAUAAAUUUUUCUUCACUCCUUGAGCAAAUGCGAGUUUAAUGUCUUGCUCAGGGGUUUGAUUCAAGUGGUUGGUUUUCCAGCGAUGGGGCUUGACCCCCAGUCCUCUUGUUGAAGGAUUGUUGAACUACUUUUCCUUCC